AUGCAAGUCGAACGGAAAGGCCCUUCGGGGUACUCGAGUGGCGAACGGGUGAGUAACACGUGGGUGAUCUGCCCUGCACUCUGGGAUAAGCCUGGGAAACUGGGUCUAAUACCGGAUAGGACCACACACUUCAUGGUGAGUGGUGCAAAGCUUUUGCGGUGUGGGAUGAGCCCGCGGCCUAUCAGCUUGUUGGUGGGGUAAUGGCCCACCAAGGCGACGACGGGUAGCCGGCCUGAGAGGGUGACCGGCCACACUGGGACUGAGAUACGGCCCAGACUCCUACGGGAGGCAGCAGUGGGGAAUAUUGCACAAUGGGCGCAAGCCUGAUGCAGCGACGCCGCGUGAGGGAUGACGGCCUUCGGGUUGUAAACCUCUUUCAGUAGGGACGAAGCGAAAGUGACGGUACCUACAGAAGAAGGACCGGCCAACUACGUGCCAGCAGCCGCGGUAAUACGUAGGGUCCGAGCGUUGUCCGGAAUUACUGGGCGUA
rnacentral:rRNA from 1 species